AUGCAAGAGUACUCCGUGGAGGUACCGACAUACCCACCUCGCCUCUUCCGGAGAAGGUACCAAAUGCGCCGUAGUUUGUUUGUGAAGAUUGCCACCGAUUGUGAGGCCGCCUCAGAUUAUUUCAAACGUCGUAGAUCCGCCGCCGAUAUCAUGGGGUUUAGUGGGUACCAAAAGAUAUCGGCUGCAAUGCGGGUGAUCGCCUAUGGCAUACCUGCGGACUAUACCGACGAGUAUCUUCGCAUUGGACAAGAUACAACCACGGCGUUCGUCCAUAGGUUUGCAAAAUUGGUCAUCCGGUUGUAUGGUGAUGAGUAUCUUCGGGCACCCAACGAGGAAGAUACAAAGAGAUUGAUGGAGAUGAAUGAAAAAAGGGGAUGGCUGGGGAUGCUUGGUAGUCUUGAUUGCAUGCAUUGGAGAUGGAAAAAUUGCCCAAAAGCAUGGCAAGGAAUGUAUUGCGGUAAAAGCCGUGAUGCUACCAUUGUGCUUGAGGCCGUGGCAUCGGAGGACACAUGGAUCUGGUAUGCAUUUUUUGGUUUGCCUGGAACACUCAAUGAUAUCAAUGUGCUCCAUAGAUCUCCUUUGUUUGCAAGAUUAGUUUCUGGGGAUGCUCCAACUUGCAACUACAAAAUCAUGGACAAUGAGUACUCAAUGGGAUACUAUCUCACCGAUGGAAUUUAUCAUGAGUGGGAAACUCUUGUGAAGUCCAUCAAGGAGAAAAAUGGGGUGCCCUUAACCAGAAAACAUGCUCAUUUCACAAAGGCACAAGAGGCAGCCCCCAAGGAUAUUGAGAGAGCUUUCGGUGUUUUGCAAGCAAGGUUUGCCAUAGUUCGGGGUGCAGCUCGUUUUUGGGACAAAAAACCCUUGGAGAACAUCAUG
rnacentral:rRNA from 1 species